AUUUUCAAGUGUUGCCUUAGUAUACAUACAGUGUUAUGUAAGACACAGGAGGUAAUAAGCUAAACCGUUAAAAAUGGUCAUUUGUAUUUAAAAGCCAUUUUCCUCCAUUUAUGUCUGUCAUUUAUUUCUUGUUGUCUUUCUGAGCCCCCAUAAGUAGGAUUUAUCCUCAGGGAUGGCUUUGCACGUCUCUCUGAGGACUCUCAUGUUGUAUAUGUUCAUCUACAGCGAAUGUUAAAAAGCUGUUGCUAGUCUACACAUAGAGUAGUAAAACCUAGAAAAAUCCACCUGAAACAUUCCUCUGGAACAAGUCUCUGGUUCAUAAUUUAAUAUUACUUCAGUUAUUCUUCCUACAUACAUUUAAAUGUUAAUCUUGUUCACAGUUCUCAAUUUACUGUGUCUUAUUCAUCACGGUACUUGAAGAAGAACUGAAGCCAGUCUCCAUCAUUGGAAAAUUUUUAUAUUUAACUCCCAAUUGUUUUGGUCACCUAUUGGACCAACCCUCAGGGAACAAAGUAGGCUCCCUCAGUCCUUGGCAGAGGGAUUCUCCUCGGCCUCCUCUGCGCCAUCUGCUGUGGAGAUCUCAAUCCCAGAGAGACCUUGCAGCUCCAGUGUGGAGGAGAGUACCGCGAUCUUCCACCCCCACCGAUUCGGCGGCGAGGACAGGGCUGCAAUUUCUAUCUCCAAUGGACCGGACAGCGACAGCGUGGAGGACAGCGUCUCAAUAGCUGUCACCGAGGCACCUGGCAGGGACAGCACCGAAGGCAGCAUCGCAGUCUCCAUCGCUGAAGGUCUGGACACCGACAGCUCUGAGGACAGCGUCGUGAUCUCCUUCUCCGAUGGACCGUACGGCGACAGCGCCCAGGUCAGCCUCAGGCUCUCCAUCCCCCGGAACCCAGCAGCAACAGCGCGGACUGAGGAAACAGCACGGAGGCGGCGGAGAACCGAGCAGCGUGGCCUGGGGCUCGGUCUGCAAGGGGCGGGCUUGGCUGCGCCCCCGUGGUCCUUUCCGUGCGGGGAGCACGUUCGCCUGGCUCGGGUUUCCCUUUUCCUUUAACCGGAACCGGUUCUGAGCCGGGAGUUCGCGGGGUUUCCGUGGUCACGCGUACCCCUUCAACGGGUGUGGAAACUGGCGUCUUCCCGCGUCCCCCGCGUGGCCCGCUGAAGAGGUCACCGGCUUUUGUCCCCGCUCAGAGCCGCGGCUGGGUGACACAUGGCCUCGCAAGAGCCUGCUCGCCCCCGGGCUGCGGGCCACCUUCACCAGCCCAACCUGGGAGGCUGUGCUGCUGGGCAGAGAUGGCAGUGCUGACCUGCGGUGCUGGUGGCCGCGCCGCACAGCGCCUGAUCCCAAGGCGU
rnacentral:lncRNA from 1 species